AUUCUGCCCAUGCGGGGAAGGAUGAGAAGCUUCGACCAAGGUUCGACUCGAGCGCCAGCGAGAGAGCGUUGCCGCAGGCAACGACCCGAAGGGCGAAGCGCGCAGCGCUGAGUAAUCCUUCCC
rnacentral:sRNA from 1 species